rnacentral:tRNA from 1 species
GGGCAUGUAGCUCAGAGGAUUAGAGCAUGUGGUUACGAACCACGGGGGUUUGAAUCCCUACUCGCCCA